rnacentral:rRNA from 1 species
CCUACGGGUGGCAGCAGUGAGGAAUAUUGGUCAAUGGACGCAAGUCUGAACCAGCCAUGCCGCGUGCAGGAAGACGGCUCUAUGAGUUGUAAACUGCUUUUGUACGAGGGUAAACGCAGAUACGCGUAUCUGUCUGAAAGUACCGUACGAAUAAGGAUCGGCUAACUCCGUGCCAGCAGCCGCGGUAAUACGGAGGAUUCAAGCGUUAUCCGGAUUUAUUGGGUUUAAAGGGUGCGUAGGCGGUCUGAUAAGUUAGAGGUGAAAUCCCGAGGCUCAACUUCGGAAUUGCCUUUGAUACUGUUCGUCUAGAGAGUAGUAGAGGUAGGCGGAAUGUGUGGUGUAGCGGUGAAAUGCUUAGAGAUCAUACAGAACACCGAUUGCGAAGGCAGCUUACCAAGCUACUUCUGACGUUGAGGCACGAAAGCGUGGGGAGCAAACAGGAUUAGAUACCCGAGUAGUC